UACGAAGGGGGCUAGCGUUGUUCGGAAUUACUGGGCGUAAAGCGCACGUAGGCGGUGUUCCAUGUCAGAGGUGAAAGCCUGGGGCUCAACUCCAGAAUUGCCUUUGAAACGGGGACGCUUGAGUCCGAGAGAGGAUGGCGGAAUUCCUAGUGUAGAGGUGAAAUUCGUAGAUAUUCGCAAGAACACCAGUGGCGAAGGCGGCUCACUGGCCCGAUACUGACGCUGAGGUGCGAAAGCGUGGGGAGCAAACAGG
rnacentral:rRNA from 1 species